UCAUAAAAGGUAGUAAAAUACAUCCGGCGCAAUUUCCCACCCGUUUUUGCCGGAUUUUAUGCCCUAGCGGUUUCAUAAAGAAAACGGGGUUGUAUUUUGCGACCGAAAUUCUACUACGUCGACUUUUAUGCCCAACAGCUGUUUUUGGAGAGAAAUGCAGCAGAUCGGUUUCAUAAAGCGAUGCAUUUUACACUCAAGUAAUUUUUCAUGUUCUUGAUAUCCCACAAAAUUUUGCGUUGCUCUGAGCUGCAUAACUUUGACCAAACUUGACAUCACCAGUUGUUUUGAACAUCGAAUUGUGGAAAUGAGUCGAAUUUUCUACCUAUUUAUCUUGAAAUAACUAUUUGACCAAGAAUCCGGAGCUUUGAAGGCAAUUCACUGGUCUCAAGUUGUCAGUAUUGCGAGUUGGAGUGCAUACCUACAUCAAUUGAAGGUCUUCCAACCAAGAGCGCGCCAGCCGUGAGCAGCCAGCUGAUGCAGAGGGCACAUCAGGAGAAGCCGUCCUGGCUCAUCACACAACGGCCGUGCCGUCCGCUGCCGGUUCCGUGUUGGAACCCGGAGCGCUGGAGUGGCCUCCGCGCGCAUCUCCGAGCCUCUCCAGCCGCAUCCAGUCACCGGGACCGCGGCCGCCUAUGAGAACAUCAUUAGAGAGCAGAAGGAGCUGCGCGCAUGGCUGCAGCAGUUCAUGGGCGGCGGCGCUGUGGACUCUGCCGAGCACGAGAAGCUGUGCUCGGCGCUGGCACAGCUCGAGAAUCGCUUCUGUGAGAGGAGGCUCUGGAGCGCGAACUGACCACGCUAAACGAGGGCCGCCAGCAGCUUGCCCAGCUGUAGCAGCUGGUGUCGCAGCCGAUUGUUGGCCAUUCCGUGGCGGCCCCGGACAGCGGCACCAAUUCUCCGACUGCCCCGCCCGCCGUCCGUCCGCCCUGGCCGAGGUGGCGCGCUAGCAGACCGCCCAGCAGAUACUGUCGCUGAUCGAGCAGAUCGGCGCCAGCGAGUACGUGGACGGACAAGCGGCUCCGCUGCACGUGUGCGAGCACUGCGGCGCCCGCGGUAAGCGCGUCCCAUAAUAGUUGGACCAGACUGUGUAAAACCGCCUAUAUCAAACCGUUUCAGUGCCUGACACUGUGUGAUGGGGCCGGCUGCGUCCCCGAGUGGGCGAGUGAACUAUUCGCCUCCGCAGCGGGGCAUAUAUUGCUCAAAAUGGUUGGCGAGUCGUCUUCAGCGAGUUUCGAGGAAAUUAUUAGCGUGUUGCCAUGUUGGGGGCGGAUCGGCGUCUGUCUGGGUGGUUACGCUUGGAAUUGUUUCAUUGUUUAUUUUAUAUCACAAUGCAUGAAUUUCUUGGUGAUAAACAUAUGCACGGUGUACUUCAUCAGCGACGCCACGACGCACCUGAACGUGCAGUCAGCGGCCGGCUGCGUCCCUUUCCUACCCCACCCGCCAAAAUUUCUGAAAAUGUGUGCUUUGGUCCGGUCGGAAACAAUCCUUGCUUUUACAAAAUUUGUGAUUUAUUCACAAUUCAUGGCCAGCAAUAGCAUAAUUACCUAUUCAUUAGUAGAAUAACAGCUGUUGGAAUUUGCAUCGCAGCUAUCAGAGCGAUUCCGGUUAAACUUCAAACACUUGUCUCAAACGAUCUCAGAUGUGCGGACUAGCAAAUAAAGCAACGACACACCUUC
rnacentral:lncRNA from 1 species